rnacentral:rRNA from 3 species
AAAACUUUCAACAACGGAUCUCUUGGUUCUGGCAUCGAUGAAGAACGCAGCGAAAUGCGAUAAGUAAUGUGAAUUGCAGAAUUCAGUGAAUCAUCGAAUCUUUGAACGCACAUUGCGCCCCGUGGUAUUCCGCGGGGCAUGCCUGUUCGAGCGUCAUUACAACCCUCAAGCUCUGCUUGGUAUUGGGCGUCACCCCCGGGUGCGCCUUAAAAUCAGUGGCGGUGCCGUCUGGCUUCAAGCGUAGUAAUACUUCUCGCUUUGGAGUCCGGGCGAGCGUCCUGCCAAAACCCCCAUAUUUUUUCAGGUUGACCUCGGAUCAGGUAGG